GGUGGUUAAGCUUUCAGCUGCUAACUGAAAGGUCGGUGGUUUGAACCCACCAGCCACUC
rnacentral:tRNA from 1 species